ensembl:snRNA U6 U6 spliceosomal RNA
GUCCCACUUCAGCAGCACAUUUAUUAAAUUGGAAUGACAGAGAAGAUCAGCAUAGCCCCCACAAGAAUGAUACACAGGUUGGUGAAGUUUCCAUAUUUUUU